rnacentral:rRNA from 1 species
GACGAACGCUGGCGGCGUGCUUAACACAUGCAAGUCGAACGGAAAGGCCCGGCUUUUGUGGGGGGCUCGAGUGGCGAACGGGUGAGUAACACGUGAGUAACCUGCCCUUGACGUUGGGAUAACGUCAGUAAACUGGGGCUAAUAGCGGAUAGUAGCUCCUGGUGCAUGGGGGGGGUUGGAAAGUUUCGGCGGUUGGGGAUGGACUCGCGGCUUAUCAGAUUGUUGGUGGGGUAGUGGCUUACGAAGGCUUUGACGGGUAGCCGGCCUGAGAGGGUGACCGGCCACAUUGGGACUGAGAUACGGCCCAGCAUCCUACGGGAGGAAGCAGUGGGGAAUAUUGCACAAUGGGAGGAAGCCUGAUGCAGCAACGCCGCGUGCGGGAUGACGGCCUUCGGGUUGUCAACCGCUUUCGCCUGUGACGAAGCGUGAGUGACGGUAAUGGGUAAAGAAGCACCGGCUAACUACGUG